AGGGCCAGGCAUGAAAAUGAAGUUCCAGAGACACCCAGGAUAAACUCAGCUACCAGGAAGCAGAUGCUGGAUGAGGCUCUGCUGAACUUCAUUGUGAAGGACUGCCAGCCCCUCAGCAUUGUGGAGAGUGAAGGGUUCAGGGAACUGGUGCAGGUCCUUGAGCCAUCAUAUGUUUUGCCUACCAGAAAGACCAUCCAAAAAAUGCUGGUGACAAAAUAUGAGGAGGAACGAGAACGAGUGAAAUUGGAAGUACAGCAAGCUGUGGCAGUGAGUAUAACAGCUGACAUGUGGACAUCUGUAAACAUGGAGGCUUACUUGGCUCUUACCUGUCACUACAUAAAUGAUAAUUUGCAGUUGUGUACAUCUGUGUUGGGUGUGCA